CCUACAAGUGACCCCUGGGUGGUGCAAAACGGGA
rnacentral:sRNA from 1 species